GGCGGUUCUCGGAUGACGCACCCCGGAACUGGGCUCCCUCCUCUCUGGUUCCGGGUACGUCACCUGAGAACCGCA
rfam:Myotis davidii contig153676, whole genome shotgun sequence.